rnacentral:rRNA from 1 species
GACAGAGGCCCCAAGCGUUAGGCGGAAUCACUGGGCUUAAAGCGUGUGUAGGCGGACGCCUAAGUGUCUUGUGAAAUCCCACGGCUCACCCGUGGAACUGCUGGGCAUACUGGGCGUCUUGGGCCAACUAGGGGCAGCCGGAACAAGCGGUGGAGCGGUGAAAUGCGUAGAUAUUGGGAGGAACAUCGGUGGCGAAGGCGGCUACCUGGACGGGUACUGACGCUGAUGCGCGAAAGCUAGGGGAGCAAACAGG